rnacentral:lncRNA from 1 species
CCUAAGACCAUGGUCAGAGACCUGAUCUGGUCUGUGGACCCUUAUUGGGGACCCACGGGCGUUAAGGAUGCCCCAGAGGUCUCUUAACAAUGAUAAAGGACACGGACAGCAGCAGGAAGAGCUGGCACGUGCUGGCACUAGGCCCAGGGUCCGAGGUGCACUGUUGAAUCCUAGGUCUCCUAAAGGCCACCGUUACUGCUUCUGCCUUAGAAGGUGGAGAUGACGAGGCUCCGGGAGGUCACGUGCCUUGUCCAAGGGGCCACGGAUAGCAGGAGAAGUGGGAUCUGAUUCCAGGUUGUUGACUCCUAAAAAACAGUCCUUUUUGGUGAGGGAGAUGGUGGGGACCCGUCUACAGCAGAGGCAAGCCUGUGGGAUGGGUGUGCUAAUGGCAGAAUGCACAAGCUGGUCAGAGACUAACGCAGGGAUUCGGGAAAUUUCCCCGAAGAAGUGUUGACUCAGGCCUUGAAGAGCAGGAAGGAGGCAUUGGUGGGGGAGGGAGGAGGCACUCUCAGGGGGAUGGACACAGGCGUGGACAGAGGUCUUGGAGAGCCUGGAGGGCCCAGGCCAGACUUUGCUGUUGGAGCCAGCCAAGGGUGGGGUGCAAGAAGGGACAUGAUCCAGUCUGUGGUUUAGGAAUAGAGUUCUACUGGCGACAUGGAGGUUGAACCAACAUGUGCAGAUUAGAAACCUGUGCUGGCAAAUGUUUGGCUGUACAGAUACACUCAGUUGACUGAUUUCUGAGAACACCUUCCUGUUUGGAUGGCCCCACCCCAGAGGAGUUUGUAGCCCUACCAUUAUGCAGGCCGCCAGCAAGUGAGGGGGUUUUCCUGAUCAUGGCUCUCUGUUGUCACCAUCCAGCAGAGCGCCAGGUGCGUAGUAGGAGCUCAGUUAAGAAGACAAGACCCUCUGCCUGACACAGCUUGCUCGAGUACUGGGGUUCUCAACUGCAGCUGCAUAUGAGAAUAUUCUCCCCAGAGCAUUUGAAAGAUGCUGAUGGCUGGGCCCCCGCACUUUACAUUGUGA